AGAGCAGCCUCCUUUCUAUGUGCUUAUUAUUUUAUGAAGCUGACUCAGAAAGCCGACCCAUUGUGAGCCUGGGCUCAUGAUGCCCAGGCAGGAGCCGGAGUCUGGGAACACUCAGGCCAGGUUGAAUCCUUCACUGCUUCCUUUUGACCUUCCAGAAGUUUUAGCUUUCAGGCUUGAGGAUAAAAGAAGUUCUAAAUGCAGCAUGUAAAGAGCACAAGACAACUGAUCAAAGUGUGUAACUGACAAAAGAAGGUGAAGAUGAGGAGAGCUUCAGGGCAAGAUUAAAAUGAAGUCCUGGGAUUCAUGGAAGCAGGCAAAAAAUAUAUACAAUUUGAUGAAGACUCUGAAAGUGGACGACACAGUAUGGUAAGUGUCAGGCUGCAAGUCAGGAGGCUUCACCAUUGGCUGGGUUACUUACUUGCUGAAUCAUUUGCUUAAACGAUCUGAGUCUCAAUACCCUUUUCCUAUCCAAUGAUACAUCACUGACUUUUCCUCAAGGAUGAGGUAAUAGGCAGAUGUAAUAUUUUUUUUCACAAAAUUAUUAUCAUUAUGCAAGUGAAAAAUACUACUGCUGCAAAGAAAACCUCAGUAAGAUGAUAUGAAAAUAUUUUACCCAUUCUGGGACAUGUAAACCUCAAAUCUGAAUAGCAAG
rnacentral:lncRNA from 1 species